CAUGUGAUUUGACAAUAAUAACACUUGCCUCAAUUCGGCGUGUGUAUGUAUCAAUCUUUCUAACAUAGCAUAUAUUACUGUUCAAACUAAUUAUUGGUCAUUGACUAAUUGUAUACAAGAGGUGGUAAAAUGCCAUUGUCCUGAUCGACCGUAACGGUAAACAAAAGAUUAACGCUGGAGGGUCUCGCUACAGGUGUGAAUUUGUUUCGGUCGACUGACCAUCGAGCACAGUGACCACAGGUAAAUGGUCAGCGAUGUGGUUACAUCCAGGACCCAAUAAGGACAAAGUGCAGGCGAUUGUAAGAUAUCAAACCAGAGAUAAAAUCCUUGUGUCUCCGGAAAACUUCUUGCCUUACGUUUGUUCCAUAGACACAGCAGAUAUCAUCCGUUCUCUCGUUCUACCUCGGAGUUGAAAUCUUGAAAAUUGAACAAGCAUAACUUUAUAAUCUAUAUAUUAGGCCACCUGAACCUUGCUGAUAAUGACUUUAAUGUUGCAAUCGUGUAUCGUCGGCCUUUGUGGGUCAAAUGUUUACAUUUUCAACUUCUUCUCUGGGGCUGCUCUGCCAAUAACAACCAAACGUCGGCACAAACAUCAAUACCUCAAGAGAUAUCAGAAUUCAUGAUUCUCAUCUCAAAGGGCCCUGUGGUUGACCGAAAACUUUUGAUAAAAAGGGUUAUUUUGAAGAACUCCUCCGCAUUUGGUAUCUUUCUGAAACAUUUUUUUCUUCACUGUAAUGUCAUAGAGAUGCUCUAUCAAAAUAACAUAAUCUAUGGCCCCUUUAUAUAUCGUUAGUCUACAAGGACGGGGCUAAUGUUGGACGUUGUCAAAAUCCUUAAAUUUUACAUAUACAAGCUGUAGGAAUUAAUGCAAGGAUUAUUUUUGCAAACUUUCAAGGUUACGGGGUCAAAUGUCAAAGGUUAUUGACACUUAAAAGUGCUAUAAUGGUCAAUUCAUAUUUUCCAAAACUGUCAACUUUAGUAGAACCAUAUGCAUUUGAGAGUUAUAGGCUUUAAUACGAUGAUUAUUUCUGAAAAGCUUCCAGAUCACAGUGUUAAAGGUGAAAGGUCAUUAACAUUUAGUAUUAUCAACACAACCAUUUUUUUCCAAAACUUUUUAAAGACACAAGUACAUUUGAAAGAUUUUUUUUUUACAAAAGUUUCAAGGUCUAAAGGUCAUUGUCUCUGCUCUUGAAUUUUCAGAUGACAAUUAAGGCCCCUAGGGCCUCUUAUUAUGAUAAUGGUUUAUUCCUUAGCAGCAGGGACUCUGAUUGAAUCCAUGUGCAAACCCAGUAUUUUCGUGCAUCCUGAAUAAAUGUAUUAGAAAAGAAUGCCAUCUUUGAAUAUUGAUGUUACAAUGAUUUCUCUGGCGGUGUCAUAGAUAAAAUAUAGAGGAUGGAUGCUUACCCUUCCAGAACACCUGGUCUUAUUCUUCCUGUGAUGUUCCUAUUUCUUAUGUUUAGUCCUGAUAUUAUUGAUUUUGAUCUUAUUAAAAGUCUUUUAACUUUU